GUUCACCUCGUCCAGGAAGCCGAGGACACCGGCGGGCUCGGCCGGGACCCCGUGGUCGGGCCAGCUGAGGUACUGGUAGUGCUUCACCGCGCGCGGCGGCUCCUCCUGGCAGGGCGGGCUGGUCUGUCCAGGGCCCUCCCCGCUCCCCCAGGGCCCAAAGACUGAAGAAGCAAGGCUCGGCCAGCCACUAACACAGUCCAGCGCUCGACCAGGUCUCCAAGGGUGUGGAACUGCUCCCCACCCCCCACGUCGAACUUCCCGUCUGGCUGUGGGGUGGGGGGCGGCAGUGAGGGGCCUGGCUGCCUUGGCCUCCCCUGAGCCACACCCCCACCCCGAGCAGCCUCCCACCUGGAAGCGGAUCAUGACGUGAGUGACCCGUGGCCGGCGGUCCGCCUUGUCCAGCGGCUGU